AUACUAUCCUUAUGCCGGGGACUCGUUUAUCACCGAGGACGAGCCCCCAGGGCGAGGCGCGCACAUUGCCCUGCGCUCGUGUUGACCCCUGCCUCUACACAAACUGCGGCAGAUGGGGCAUGCC
rnacentral:snRNA from 1 species